AUAAUUCACUAGGGGUGCUUAGUUGCUGAGAUGACCGUGGUCAAACCCUUUAAACCUGCUCUAGUUAGGACUAGCGAAGGGAAGUGUACUGGUUAUAUU
rnacentral:ncRNA from 2 species